UUGGCUCAAAUUUCACACACCUAGAAUCACAUAACCAACACAAAUGAUCUUUCCGUAUUUAAGUAAAAUUACCAAUGGACAAAUCAGAAACAUAAAUACUACAGACAAAAACUUGCGAUUACGAUGUAGCUAAAGUUCUACACAGAGUAAAUUGAUAUUCACAAGCGCGGAAAUGACGAAAAUAUGACCGAAUGGACUUGAAACAUAACAUGUACAGAAACCCCAAACGAAAUUCGAAUGACGGGAAGAACAGAAAUACCGCAAGCAGAGCUAGUUGUCGACGGAUGGUGCAAGUUGUUGUCAGCGUUCAAAUUUUCCUUCGUUGUCAAGUCCAAUGUUCAUGUUAGCUCCAUUUACUAAAGAGAGAGAUUAUUCGCCAUAGCUUUGAGAAAACUGCUCGUUAUCGGCCACGACCAUUAUCGACUUUCAUGUUAGAUCUGAAGAACAUCCAACUUUACAUCAAUGAUUAAGAUUGCUUGGACUUUGAAAGAGAAGGAUGACGAUUUGGGCUCGCGGUGUUGAAAUGGCGGAUGAAGUCGCAUUAUGUUGUUGGGGUUGUGUUCGUCGGAGGGUGGUGCUGGUGAGUUGCAACGGUGAAGUUUUCGACGACGGAGGUUGCACGGGUUGGAGAGUGGAAGACGACGGGGGUUGCAUGGGUUGGAGAGUGUAAGACGAUUGGGGGAGGUUGUGGGGGUGUCGUGAGGUUCCCGCGGAGACGGUUACGAUAGUCGGAAAUGGGUUUGAAGGCGUGGCAGUCGUGUUUGCCAGCGAGGGAAAUGGAGAGUUUAACGGCGGAUGAGGGUUAUUGCGUGUUUUCGGUGGAUGCGGAGAAUAUGGAGAAGAGGAAGAUUGAAAGGUUUUGACGACACGGUUUGUGUGGUGGUUCCAGUGGAGGAAAUGGAGGUUGUGAGACGGAAGUUAUGGUGGAAGGUGGAGAGUUGAAGUAGGAAGAACGACGGAGAAGGUAGAGUUUGGUGUUGGGGAGAAGAAGAAUCGGUUAUGGAGGGGAAAGGGUGAAACGGAGAAGACGACCUUCUCCCUCCUUUCUCUUUCGUUUUCUUUUUUCUUUUUAUUCUUUUUUUCGUUGAGAGUGAGUGAUA
rnacentral:lncRNA from 1 species